rnacentral:rRNA from 1 species
UGGGUAACCUGCCUGUAAGACUGGGAUAACUCCGGGAAACCGGGGCUAAUACCGGAUGGUUGUUUGAACCGCAUGGUUCAAACAUAAAAGGUGGCUUCGGCUACCACUUACAGAUGGACCCGCGGCGCAUUAGCUAGUUGGUGAGGUAAUGGCUCACCAAGGCAACGAUGCGUAGCCGACCUGAGAGGGUGAUCGGCCACACUGGGACUGAGACACGGCCCAGACUCCUACGGGAGGCAGCAGUAGGGAAUCUUCCGCAAUGGACGAAAGUCUGACGGAGCAACGCCGCGUGAGUGAUGAAGGUUUUCGGAUCGUAAAGCUCUGUUGUUAGGGAAGAACAAGUACCGUUCGAAUAGGGCGGUACCUUGACGGUACCUAACCAGAAAGCCACGGCUAACUACGUGCCAGCAGCCGCGGUAAUACGUAGGUGGCAAGCGUUGUCCGGAAUUAUUGGGCGUAAAGGGCUCGCAGGCGGUUUCUUAAGUCUGAUGUGAAAGCCCCCGGCUCAACCGGGGAGGGUCAUUGGAAACUGGGGAACUUGAGUGCAGAAGAAGGAGAGUGGAAUUCCACGUGUAGCGGUGAAAUGCGUAGAGAUGUGGAGGAACACCAGUGGCGAAGGCGACUCUCUGGUCUGUAACUGACGCUGAGGAGCGAAAGCGUGGGGAGCGAACAGGAUUAGAUACCCUGGUAGUCCACGCCGUAAACGAUGAGUGCUAAAGUGUUUAGGGGGUUUCCGCCCCUUAGUGCUGCAGCUAACGCAUUAAGCACUCCGCCUGGGGAGUACGGUCGCAAGACUGAAACUCAAAGGAAUUGACGGGGGCCCGCACAAGCGGUGGAGCAUGUGGUUUAAUUCGAAGCAACGCGAAGAACCUUACCAGGUCUUGACAUCCUCUGACAAUCCUAGAGAUAGGACGUCCCCUUCGGGGGCAGAGUGACAGGUGGUGCAUGGUUGUCGUCAGCUCGUGUCGUGAGAUGUUGGGUUAAGUCCCGCAACGAGCGCAACCCUUGAUCUUAGUUGCCAGCAUUCAGUUGGGCACUCUAAGGUGACUGCCGGUGACAAACCGGAGGAAGGUGGGGAUGACGUCAAAUCAUCAUGCCCCUUAUGACCUGGGCUACACACGUGCUACAAUGGACAGAACAAAGGGCAGCGAAACCGCGAGGUUAAGCCAAUCCCACAAAUCUGUUCUCAGUUCGGAUCGCAGUCUGCAACUCGACUGCGUGAAGCUGGAAUCGCUAGUAAUCGCGGAUCAGCAUGCCGC